AAGUCGUAACAAGGUUUCCGUAGGUGAACCUGCGGAAGGAUCAUUAAUCCAGGCGCGACCCCCCCUCCAACCGGUCGGGGGCGAGCGCCGCCUUCACACCCACCCUUUGCCUAUGUGUACCCCUAUCGCUUCCUCGGCAGGCCCGCCUGCCGCCAGGAACCAACCAAACCCUUUGCAUCCUACAUGAAAACUUCUGAUACCAACCUAAAUUAUUACAACUUUUAACAAUGGAUCUCUUGGUUCUG
rnacentral:misc_RNA from 1 species